GACGAACGCUGGCGGCGUGCUUAACACAUGCAAGUCGAACGGAAAGGCCCUGCUUUUGUGGGGUGCUCGAGUGGCGAACGGGUGAGUAACACGUGAGCAACCUGCCCUUGACUUUGGGAUAACUUCAGGAAACUGGGGCUAAUACCGGAUAGGAGCUCCUGCUGCAUGGUGGGGGUUGGAAAGUUUCGGCGGUUGGGGAUGGACUCGCGGCUUAUCAGCUUGUUGGUGGGGUAGUGGCUUACCAAGGCUUUGACGGGUAGCCGGCCUGAGAGGGUGACCGGCCACAUUGGGACUGAGAUACGGCCCAGACUCCUACGGGAGGCAGCAGUGGGGAAUAUUGCACAAUGGGCGGAAGCCUGAUGCAGCAACGCCGCGUGCGGGGUGACGGCCUUCGGGUUGUAAACCGCUUUCGCCUGUGACGAAGCGUGAGUGACGGUAAUGGGUAAAGAAGCACCGGCUAACUACGUG
rnacentral:rRNA from 1 species